CCCUUUUUAUCAUUGUUCAUCGGCUCCCACGUUCUACUUCUAUCUCUCACACACCUAUACACACACACAUUUCUUCACCAACACUCAACAUUUGAGAUGACGAUUCCUUAGCCGGAUCUCACAUCCAUGAUCGAUCGCAACGUCAUCUUCGACGACCGAUUCACGUCUCUUAGUGUUAUUCUCUCGAUUUCUCAUAUGUUCAUCUACAUCUAGAAAGUAAUCGCCAAAUCUAGAGAAUCAAUAAAACGAUCGGUAACCAUUACCUUGACCGUCGGUGAUAGAUCUGCAAGAAGACUCUCCUCAAUGAAAGUAACCUUAUGUUGCCGCCUUUUUCCAUCAACUUCAUGAUGAUCACAUCUCCAGGAUCAACAUCGCUUUGCUCCUACCAUCGGGAUUCAUGCAUCCAAGAAAACGACUUAUACAAUCGUUUUCUCAUUGUCAAUGCAAUCGGUUUCUACAAUCGUUCCCAUGCUGAUAUCUACCACCGAUAUCUUCAAUCAAUUUCUCUCCUCAAAGUUUAUGAUAAUUUCAAACCUGAUUUGGAAGAAUUUGUGGAAAAAUAUUAAAGAGGUGAAAAGUGAUAAAUUGAAGAAAAUAUAUAAAUCUUGACAAAAGAAAUUAUAACACAUUGAAUCUUUGUAGCAUUUUUUAUUUUUUAUAUUUUAUUUUGUAUCGAAUAAAAUACAUGUAGUAUUGUGUUUAUAAAUUAGUAAUAAAAAUGAGUUUUUCUUA